CAGGGCCCUGAGUCAAUUAAACGUGAACGUUCAAUCAAAACAGAAGAUAUAGAUUCUAGUCAAAUCAAAGCUGAAAGCAUAUUAAAAUCUGAAAUUUCUAAGAUUACGGACAAAGGAGGGCUUGUGAACUCUGAAGGGGUUGAGAAGCUAGUUCACCUCAUGCAGCCAGAUAGAAAUGAGAAGAAAAUGGAUUUGAUCAGUCGUUCAAUGCUUGCAAGUGUUGUAGCUGCAACUGAAAAUUUUGACUGUCUUACUAGGUUUGUACAGUUAAGGGGUCUUCCAGUGUUAGAUGAGUGGCUUCAAGAUGUUCAUAAGGGGCGGAUUGGUGAAUCUAGCAACACAAAAGAUGGUGACAAAUCAAUUGAAGAAUUUCUCUUUGUUUUGCUUCGUGCACUUGAUAAGCUUCCUGUGAAUCUUCAAGCACUGCAGAUGUGUCAUAUUGGCAGGUCUGUCAAUCACUUGCGGCAGCAUAAAAACACAGAAAUACAGAGGAAGGCACGGAGUUUAG
rnacentral:misc_RNA from 1 species